AUAUAUAUAUAUAUAGAGUCCUGAUUUCUUGGACUACAGGGGUGACCACAAUCUCUUGGACUCUUAUGGUCCAAGAGAUCGGGACUGUAUAUAUAU
rnacentral:miRNA from 1 species